AUAUAUGAAUUCUAUUCUUUACAGGGACUUUGAUUUGGCAUUUGCUGGCUUUUACUAUCGAGAUAUUUGCCCGUCUCGCACAUUUGUCGGUCAAAUCUAUUGGGCACAGAACGCAGCUGGAGUAUGGGUGAGAGUGCUACAGAAACCUUGGUACAGACAGUAUUUCCGCCAAACAAUAUGCACUCAACGUUCUUGUACCGGAUUGUUCAACAGUCGAUGUAUCCGCAAGUACCGUCUGGCCAGAGCAUUGGUUUACCGAAAUAUCGGAUGUGGGUGGGGUUAUGCAUACUUCGAGUGGCAAUACAUCCGGGUUCCAUCAUGCUGUGUCUGCCAGACGCGUGUCUACUUUUAAUAAAGUAACUUUGUUUUAAUAUAAAUCAUUACAAAAAAUAAUUCGACCGAAUAGACCUAUUUACAGCCUUAAAAUUAAUAAUUGUAAUCAUUAUUUUGUGUAUUUUGUGAUGUAAAUCAUAACAGGCAUAAUUCAUAUAUCUAUAAUAUAUCCUGAAAUAGGAUUAGACAUGUUAGAUUAUUGUCGAAAAUGUUUUUGGAUUUAAAUUAAAAUGUGGAAAGUAAGUGCGA